rnacentral:rRNA from 1 species
CCUACGGGUUGCACCAGUAGGAAUCUUCCACAAUGGGCGCAAACCUGAUGGAGCAACGCCGCGUGUGUGAUGAAGGGUUUCGGCUCGUAAAACACUGUUAUAAGAGAAGAACGGCACUGAGAGUAACUGUUCAGUGUGUGACGGUAUCUUACCAGAAAGGAGCGGCUAAAUACGAGCCAGCAGCCGCGGUAAUACGUAUGUUCCAAGCGUUAUCCGGAUUUAUUGGGCGUAAAGCGAGCGCAGACGGUUAUUUAAGUCUGAAGUGAAAGCCCUCAGCCCAACUGAGGAAUGGCUUUGGAAACUGGAUGACUUGAGUGCAGUAGUGGAAAGUGGAACUCCAUGUGUAGCGGUGAAAUGCGUAGAUAUAUGGAAGAACACCAGUGGCGAAGGCGGCUUUCUGGACUGUAACUGACGUUGAGGCUCGAAAGUGUGGGUAGCAAACAGGAUUAGAUACCCUUGUAGUC